CCUACGGGUGGCAGCAGUGUGGAAUAUUUUUCCCUUUGCUCCCUCCUUCCCCCGCCCCGCCGCGUGCCGGAAGAAGGCUUUCGGGUUGUAAACUUCUUUUGUCAGGGACGAAGCAAGUGACGGUACCUGACGAAUAAGCCACGGCUAACUACGUGCCAGCAGCCGAGGUAAUACGUAGGUGGCAAGCGUUAUCCGGAUUUACUGGGUGUAAAGGGCGUGUAGGCGGGACUGCAAGUCAGAUGUGAAAACCACGGGCUCAACCUGUGGCCUGCAUUUGAAACUGUAGUUCUUGAGUACUGGAGAGGCAGACGGAAUUCCUAGUGUAGCGGUGAAAUGCGUAGAUAUUAGGAGGAACACCAGUGGCGACGGCGGUCUGCUGGACAGCAACUGACGCUGAGGCGCGAAAGCGUGGGGAGCAAACAGGAUUAGAUACCCCUGUAGUC
rnacentral:rRNA from 1 species